UACGUAGGGGGCAAGCGUUGUCCGGAUUUAUUGGGCGUAAAGCGCGCGCAGGCGGUCCUUUAAGUCUGAUGUGAAAGCCCACGGCUCAACCGUGGAGGGUCAUUGGAAACUGGGGGACUUGAGUACGGAAGAGGCGAGUGGAAUUCCUGGUGUAGCGGUGAAAUGCGCAGAUAUCAGGAGGAACACCAAUUGCGAAGGCAGCUCGCUGGGACGUUACUGACGCUGAGACGCGAAAGCGUGGGGAGCAAACAGG
rnacentral:rRNA from 1 species